GCUCUCUGGAUCAGUGGCGAACGGGUGAGUAACACGUGAGCAAUCUGCCCCUGACUCUGGGAUAAGCGCUGGAAACGGCGUCUAAUACCGGAUACGAGCUGUGAAGGCAUCUUCAACAGCUGGAAAGAACUUCGGUCAGGGAUGAGCUCGCGGCCUAUCAGCUAGUUGGUGAGGUAAUGGCUCACCAAGGCGUCGACGGGUAGCCGGCCUGAGAGGGUGACCGGCCACACUGGGACUGAGACACGGCCCAGACUCCUACGGGAGGCAGCAGUGGGGAAUAUUGCACAAUGGGCGCAAGCCUGAUGCAGCAACGCCGCGUGAGGGACGACGGCCUUCGGGUUGUAAACCUCUUUUAGCAGGGAAGAAGCGAAAGUGACGGUACCUGCAGAAAAAGCACCGGCUAACUACGUGCCAGCAGCCGCGGUAAUACGUAGGGUGCAAGCGUUAUCCGGAAUUAUUGGGCGUAAAGAGCUCGUAGGCCG
rnacentral:rRNA from 1 species